rnacentral:rRNA from 1 species
AUUGAACGCUGGCGGCAGGCCUAACACAUGCAAGUCGAACGGUAACAGGAAGCAGCUUGCUGCUUUGCUGACGAGUGGCGGACGGGUGAGUAAUGUCUGGGGAACUGCCUGAUGGAGGGGGAUAACUACUGGAAACGGUAGCUAAUACCGCAUAACGUCGCAAGACCAAAGAGGGGGACCUUCGGGCCUCUUGCCAUCGGAUGUGCCCAGAUGGGAUUAGCUAGUAGGUGGGGUAACGGCUCACCUAGGCGACGAUCCCUAGCUGGUCUGAGAGGAUGACCAGCCACACUGGAACUGAGACACGGUCCAGACUCCUACGGGAGGCAGCAGUGGGGAAUAUUGCACAAUGGGCGCAAGCCUGAUGCAGCCAUGCCGCGUGUAUGAAGAAGGCCUUCGGGUUGUAAAGUACUUUCAGCGGGGAGGAAGGGAGUAAAGUUAAUACCUUUGCUCAUUGACGUUACCCGCAGAAGAAGCACCGGCUAACUCCGUG